GUGGUAUUAUAUAUGAUCCCCUAUAUGUAACGUCCGGUGUGUGCUUUUGUAACAGUCUGUGUUGGAGAGAGCGCAGAGACAGAGCAGGUGAUCAAACAGGAGACAGACAUGGUGUGACUGCUGAUCAAAGCUAGCAUCUACGUGGUUAGGAAGAUCCGGGCUUCCAUCGCCGAGGGAGAGCAGCUGGAAAAGCCGAUCGUAACACCAUGUAGUGCUAUUGCUAAUAUGAGAGCGGGCCACGAGUCAAGAGGAAAAGCCUCAGCAGCAGCUGCAAUCUGCUCCGAACCCGAUGGCGGUGUCGAUGGAGCGGCCAGCUCGGGGAUGUCCUCGGAGACAGCCGUGCAGAAAUGUGGACCCUGACGUUAAAGAUCACGCUGGACAUCAAGACUGUGAUGAUGAUGAAAUGUAAUCAAGUCAUCUUAGCUUUGAGUGGUCCAGCUCCUGAUGACACACACUCACCAUAACAUCUUUUAUUUAUGUGUUGCAGUUUUUGAAGGCACGCUCACAAACCUCUCUCCAGAGGCUGAGCAGGCCUGAUGUUUCUGCUGCUGCAUCAAUAAAUUAAAAUUAAAAAAGCGCUGCUAGGGGCGAUGUUUGUUUACUUGCAUAAGACAGUGGUUAUUAGGCUGAGUAUGCUGUUUUCAGAAACCCUUUGUGAUGAUAUUUUGACCUGGAAAUCACCGGUGUAACUCGGAACAUAAUAAUGGCAAUAGGGAAUUAAACCAUCACUCAUAUCAAUAAAAGGAGGAAAUAAAAUGACAUGCGACAACUCUCUCA